rnacentral:sRNA from 1 species
UUCAUUUUGAGUUUAAAAUUUUGUUUUAUGAAAUGGAAGGUGAUAAUACUCUUUGUGGGCUUAUAAAUUGGGAAGAGUUUUGGAUUACCCCUGAAACGUCUCUGGAAGCUUCUGUUAACCUCUUUUUUUUUUUUUUUUUUAAAGUCAGACAAUGGUAUAUAACUUUUAACUCUCGAUAGGAACUAAUUCUGAAGCAUCAAAUGCUUCUGAAACAGAAUCUGACCACAGAGACGAACUCAGUGAUUGGUCAUUAGCUCCAACAGAGGAAGAGAGAGAGAGCUUCCUGCGCAGAGGAGACGGACGGCGGCGUGGAGGGGGAGGAAGAGGACAAGGAGGAAGAGGACGUGGAGGAGGCUUCAAAGGAAACGACGAUCACUCCCGAACAGAUAAUCGUCCACGUAAUCCAAGAGAGGCUAAAGGAAGAACAACAGAUGGAUCCCUUCAGGUAAAACCUGUCUGCCUCUUUUCAUCUUAAUUGUUUGAAUAUGGUAGUUUGAGAUUUAUGAGUUUAUUUUACUUUAUUAAAAACAUGUUCAAAGAUUAC